CACGUAGGGUGCGAGCGUUGUCCGGAAUUAUUGGGCGUAAAGAGCUCGUAGGCGGUGUGUCGCGUCGGCCGUGAAAACCUGCAGCUUAACUGUGGGCUUGCGGUCGAUACGGGCAUCACUGGAGUUCGGCAGGGGAGACUGGAAUUCCUGGUGUAGCGGUAAAAUGCGCAGAUAUCAGGAGGAACACCGGUGGCGAAGGCGGGUCUCUGGGCAACAACUGACGCUGAGGAGCGAAAGCGUGGGGAGCGAACAGG
rnacentral:rRNA from 1 species